rnacentral:tRNA from 1 species
UUAACUAAAGCCAAAAAGAGGCAUUUCAUUGUUAAUGAAAAAAUUGAAUUAGAUAAUUCUAGUUAAA